rnacentral:rRNA from 1 species
UACAGAGGUCUCAAGCGUUGUUCGGAUUCAUUGGGCGUAAAGGGUGCGUAGGCGGCGCGGUAAGUCCGUUGUAAAAGUCAAAGGCUCAACCUUUGAAAGCCGAUGGAUACUGCUGGGCUAGAGUCCGGAAGAGGCGAGUGGAAUUCCUGGUGUAGCGGUGGAAUGCGCAGAUAUCAGGAGGAACACCGAUAGCGAAGGCAGCUCGCUGGGACGGUACUGACGCUGAGGCGCGAAAGCGUGGGGAGCGAACAGG